CUAAAUCAUGGAUGGAGGUAUAUCUAGUAUAUUUUCAUUACUACUAUUCUUCAGCUUGCACAAUAAUCCAUAUACACUAGAAUUUCUCUUUGUCUUUUCCCCCAGUCACAAGAAAAUGAUUGGAAAGACUGUCACCAAAUUUGGAGGCUUAAGUUAGUCUAACUUCAAAUAAUAGGCUCUGUGGCAAACAUCACAUUCACUUUGAUGCUCCCAGAAACACUGAGGGGUAAGAUUAUCUGCAGAAGACCAGACUGAGGGCCAACUGUCUGCGGGCACACAGGAGCAGUUGCAGGUCAACUGCUGGAAUAACAUUUCUCAUAGCAAUGUCCAAGCAAGUUGAUCUGAUACCAGAGCAUCUAGAGGGCUGGCUCUACGAGAAGCUGAAAUGACAAAGAAUAAGUUAGUGACUUAAAAACUGGAGAUUUAAUUUCAAGGUAGGAAUCAUAAACUUGGUAUUGUCUGUUUUUACCAAACUUCAUAUAUGCAAAUUUUACAUACGUAUGGUUUUUCUUUAAACCUGUCAUCCAGUUCUAAGGGUCAAUUCCAAGGAGACACGACUAAAUUGCAGUAAUGAGAGAAGUACUGAUUUGCAGUCUGAUCAUUCAAGAAUAACUAACUUCAGGGGUGCCUGGAUUACGCAGUCAGUUAAGCAUCCCACUCUUGAUCCUGGUUCAGGUCAUGAUCUCAUGGUUCAUAAGAUCGAGUGCCACGUUGGGCUCUACACUGACAUUGUGGAACCUGCUUGGGAUUUUCCCUCUCUCUACUGCCCCACUCAUUCUCCCUCAAAAUAAAAAAAUAAACUUAAAAAAAAAAAAAACCUUUAGAAACUACUAAAUUGAACGAAAAAAACUGCCACUUUUAUAGAUCAAAGAUGGCCAAAUAUCAGAAAUUUCACUGACUCAAACUGACAUCUGAAAAAAUGUACCUUAUGUACUCUUGCGUACCUGUAAGGAAAGCCACAGAGAAAAUGCUUUGGUCUAGGAGACCCAAGCCUCUACCUAAACUAUAGCAGAGGACACAUAUGCAGUAUGUUGAGGUAAGCCACUAUCUAGGUAACAGUACGACUAUUAAACAAUUUUAUAAAAAGCUUUCUAGAUACUCUGAAUCACCUUGUACAAGGUAUCAGAGAAAUUAAUAUGAAUUUCACUAGACAACAUGUAGCAGCUGAGUCCAAAUCGCUUAUCCAUGUCUUGCAAGUGGCUGGUUUUGAGACAAGUAAACAAAAUGCUGUAGAGGGCAUGCAAGCUAAGCUUGUCUGGGGCAGUUCGCCUAAGAAUAGAUUUUUCAACUUGAAUCAAAAUUUCUGUGAUUUGAUGGGAAUUUCAAUCUAAGCAAUUAAGUGAUAGCAAGGAAAGAGCACCCUAAUAUUCGUUGCUCGGUAAAUAAUAGCUUAAAGGGAAAAAAAAAUAAUUGAAAUAAACAAUUUUUACUUAAAAAAAAAAACCACAACAAACCCUACCUUCAAUGUUUAAAAGAAUUACAAAAAAACCAAAACCCCAGGACACAAAACUGCACUUUGACACGUGAACAUGUACUCAUUACAUGUGAGCCAAAUAAACUUAUUUGCCUCAACCCUCAUUUCCAAGACUUCCCACCUUUAAUUAAUUAACGUGUUUUCAUUAUACAUUUCACAAUGAAAAUAGGUUUUGCAGUUCCUGGAACUUCACUUACAUCACUAAUUCGGUGUACUUUAAAAUCCCUCUAAUUAUGCAAGCCUAUAAAGUAAGUCACACUUUCAGACAUGAACACAGGUAAUACAAAAUACCAGAAUUAGCAGAAGCAUCAAAGCACACAGACAUGCACACACACUGCUACUAUGACGUGAGCACUACAUCAGGGAUACUCAAUGGGUAAGGCCUUUUCCAGACCACUUCCAAUUCCUAAUCUCAACUCUUCAAGAGUAAGAAAUAUUUAUCAUCUGUAAGAAGACAAAUGUAAAUGUUCUUGCCAAAGAACUUCUUUGUUUCUGGAAUGUUUUUAUGAAAACCAUCAUUUCAAACUUGCUUUCAGUACUCUUCCUAAAAUCAAGAAGGCACAA